UCCGCGCGGGGCUCGCGCUCCGGCUGGGCCGGCGGCGGGCGGGCGCCUCGGGCCGGCAGGACACGCCCCGGACAGCCCCGGACACGCCCCCGACAGCCCCGGACUCGGCCCGGGCACGCCCCCGCUCGGCCCGGACACGCCCCUCCUCGGUGGCCGCGGGGCUCCGGCGCAGCAGGGGUUGGUGCGGGAAGCGGCGUCCCGGGCGGCUGGCGGGCCCCGCUGCCGCAGCCGCAGCCGCGCACGAAGCGCACCCGCUCCCCGGGUGCCCCCCAGCGCUCGGAGGUGCCCGUUGUGCGCCGCAAAGCAGACCCGCACCAACUUUUCCAGACUGCGCUGAUUGUUCUUGAAAGAGGGUUGGGAUCUGGAAAGUGCUGCGAGUCAUUAAUUUGAGACCACAGAUCACCAGGUUUGGGAGGAGAGUUUCCACCACGCCCUCCUUGAAAUAAAUCGGUGGAUUGCCUCCCUCUGCUAGCAGCUCUCACUAAUUAGGCCUUUUUCCUUCAGUCAGCAUCUUUUAGUCACUCGGAGCCUUUGAAAGUGGUAUAUUUUUUUCCUACACAAUCCUGCCCAAAACAUCAAGUCGUGAUGUACAGAAGCUGAGGACACAGCGCAGACCUGUGCAACCAGUUUUCUGCUGCUCGACAUCUCCUAGGAUCGUCUGCCGGUCUAAGUAAAGAGCACAAAGUCCUAACAGACAAAAGCCACCCAUCUCUUCUCCAGGUGUCAAUGGCAGUGAUGGGAAUAACCACGAAUUUAGGGGCAAAAAAACAAGAACUGAGUUGACUUUUCAUGUGACUCCAAGUAGGAGGAUCAAAGCACAUGGCCCAAAUACAAACCAGCUCCAUCUUAUUGGAAAAUAGACCUGAAAUGAACAUUUGCCACAUGUUCUGGGCUUGCACUGUGUUUGGAAGUCUUGCUGUAAGUUAAACUGCAAAAAUAAAGUCUAGAGAGCUGAGAAAG